UCCCUGGUGGUCUAGUAGUUAAGAAUUCAGCAUUGUCAAUGCUGAGGCUCGGGUUCUAUCCCUGGCCUGGGAA
rnacentral:tRNA from 1 species